GCCUAACACAUGCAAGUCGGGGGGUAACGGGGACUUGCUCCCCCGACCACCGGCGCACGGGUGCGUAACGCGUAUACAAUCUCCUUUCGCUGCCGGAUAGCCCAGAUAACUUUGGAUUAACACCGCCUACUUGUUGACUUCGCAUGGAGACCCCAUUCCCCCGCCACGCCCCCAGAUGACAUGCGUACUAUGGGGGGGUUAUGGUGCGGCACCGGCGCACCAUGCCACCCUACACAGGGGCCCUGAGAGGGUGAUCCCGCAUACUGGUACUGACCCCCGCCCCUACUCCUAGGGGAGGGAGCUGUGUAGAAUUUUGCCUCACGGCCCCGACGCCCAUCCUCUCCCGCCGCGGUGCCGGAUGUACAGGUGUAAGACGAGUAUCAUGUUUCCACGCACGCCA
rnacentral:rRNA from 1 species